AUUUCCCAUCGUGCUGAGGCGGGUGGCAUGGCGGAGAAGGAUGACACCGGAGUUUGACGAAGAGGUGGUUUUUGAGAAUUCUCCACUUUACCAAUACUUACAGGAUCUGGGACACACAGACUUUGAAAUAUGUUCUUCUUUGUCACCAAAAACAGAAAAAUGCACAACAGAGGGACAACAAAAGCCUCCUACAAGAGUCCUACCAAAAGUAAGAAGGCUUGCUCAUUCUUUCUGGCUGAAUCUUUUGCACUUUACCUUACUGGCUAUUCACAUACUUCUUAAGCACUUCCAUGUCCUCCCUCACACUGGUAAGACUAUUUCAUCAAUAGUACAAAACUUUCUGUUAGAUAAACAUGAAUCCUUACUGCUUUGGAAUAUUAAUUUAUAUCCAGUGAGGAAAUAAUUUGGUAGAGAAUUAAAAUACAUUACUUAUUUAAAUAUUGAUGCUAUCCAAACAGAACCGAAAAAAAUAUACUAAAACUUUAAUGAGAGCACAGCUAAUAGGAAUCCUCUACUAACUGGAUUUUUCUGUUUAAAUCUUUUUUUUAAAAAACAGCAUGAAUUA
rnacentral:sRNA from 1 species